UGGGGAAUAUUGGACAAUGGGCGCAAGCCUGAUCCAGCCAUGCCGCGUGGGUGAUGAAGGCCCUAGGGUUGUAAAGCCCUUUCGGCGGGGAAGAUAAUGACGGUACCCGCAGAAGAAGCCCCGGCUAACUUCGUGCCAGCAGCCGCGGUAAUACGAAGGGGGCUAGCGUUGCUCGGAAUCACUGGGCGUAAAGCGCACGUAGGCGGCUUCUUAAGUCGGUGGUGAAAUCCUGGAGCUCAACUCCAGAACUGCCUUUGAUACUGAGAGGCUCGAGUCCGGGAGAGGUGAGUGGAACUGCGAGUGUAGAGGUGAAAUUCGUAGAUAUUCGCAAGAACACCAGUGGCGAAGGCGGCUCACUGGCCCGGUACUGACGCUGAGGUGCGAAAGCGUGGGGAGCAAACAGGAUUAGAUACCCACGUAGUCCCUGAGCGGGCUGGCAAGGCGCAU
rnacentral:rRNA from 1 species